UUUUUUUUUGGUGUAUGAAGGGCGGAUGGUAGUUCAAUGACAUUGUUGGAAUAUGGGUCAUACAUCAACUUGGUAAGAACUGAGAAGGCUGUGGUUGAGCUUCAAUUGUGUCCUUUUAACCCUAACUGGUAUCAUAGAAGCAAUUGGAAGUCCAUUUG